rnacentral:lncRNA from 1 species
GGGUAUUGUGGUCAAAGAUGACUUCUGCAGACAAAGACAUCAUCUUGUAUAUGCAAGGUAAGCAUCAUUGUGGAUUCCACACAAUAACUAAGAAAACUAUUAUAACUUAUAAACAACUGCCAACCAGAAAUCAAGCUGCACUUAAUCAGUUCAGAAUUAGAACAUGCUUAAAGCAGACCUGCAGUGAGUGAAAAACCACAUAUUGCAUAGAAGUUAAUGGUCUUUGGUCCUAGAAGAAAACCAAAUGAUACUUGCCAGUUGUUACAAUAAAUUCAGAAAAUAGCCACACUGAAUGCUGAGUUGCUUUGCUUUUUCCUUCUCAAAGUUUUUCCUGCUUCACCUGUCAAGCUGGGCAUCCUCAAUGAGAAUGACUGCAGGGAAAGAGAAUGAAACUGCUGAUUUAUAUAAGCAGGAAGAAACGAGUUCAUAUUUUCAGUCUAUGUACUUACUUCUUCCAAGCUGGAUAGUAAGCUAUGAUGUUUUUCUUAAAAGUUUGGAAAGCCUUUCACACCACCAGGCAGUUACAUAGCAUGGUAAGGCAGUGAUAUGUAAAAGCUAAAACCUUGCUCCUGAAAUCAACAUUUGAUGAAAGGGAAACGAACACUUCACAAUGUGAGGCUUCAGGACAGAAAGUACACGGUAUGCUAUCAAUGCUUACAAUAACAUUUACAAUAACCUUAUUAUCUGAGUAGCAUACCCAUUUUAAAGCUGAGAACAUUGACAAUGUUUCACAGCAUGUAGCAAGGCCCACAUCUGAACCCAGUUGGCCUGAUUCCAAGGUUCAUCCUCUUUUCAUAACAUCGUAUUUUACUUUUUCCUCAAAAUGCUGUCAUGGGGAAAUAUGUUACUACCUUAACCAUGAGUUUUUCAGAACAGUUAAUUAAUUAGAGCAUCAUUGGAUAAAAUCAAAAUAUAGAUGGCGGUAGCAAGUAAGGUGGGAAGAAAAGAGAUUUAUAAUAAAAACACCUGGGUUCAGAUCUUGAGGUUGACAGUUUUAACUUGUCAUCUUAACUUCUUGAGUCUUCAUGUAUUUAUGAAAAAAAAAAUGAAUGUGCUUACAAUACUUAUUUCUAGAGUGGACAGCCAAAAAAUAGUGACAGAGAGAGAGAGAGAGAGAGAUUUUAAAAUACUUUGGGGGAAGUAUGUGAUACAUUUUAGAAUAAUUUUUAUCAAAAGGACUAACAUAAAAAUAUUUUAUACGUAAGGGGUGUUUCACUUAUUGGGAAGUUGCUUAUGUGAAUCUAUUGUACCUAUUUUGGCUGAAUCAGUGGUAUAUGGGUAACAAAAUGUGUAUGUAUAUUAUGCUUUUCUCACUUCUUUUUAAGUAAGCUAUGGCAACCUCAUUGAGAAUGACUUCAAGGAAAAGGAAUCAAAGUGAUGAUUUAUAUAGGUAACAAAUGGGCACCUUUUUGAAAUGUGUAAAGGCUUCUCUUACUCCAUUAUUUUCAGUGUUACUUAAUGGCACAUAUCUAACAAAUUACCCAAACUAUAAUUCUGAGAAUAUGUUCUGCUUCCUUUUUUCUCUCAUUCUUUACAUAUAAUUUCCCUUCAUUCUAUGCUGUAAGUAUUCAAACAAAUUCUGAAGUUUCUACUCCCUAAAUACUCCUUAAAUAACCAAUGGUUCCUUAACUGUCUCCCCAUUCCCAGUAUUCCUUUGUCCACUAUCUUCCAUGCCAUAAAUACACAUGUCACCCUGCAAAUCUCAGUGUAUGAUGCACUUGUUUAAAAUCUUCAGUGGUUUUUGGAGUGCCCUAAGGACAAAAGCCGGAUUCCAUGGUAAAUGAUAGAAAACCUUUCUGAAUAUGGUAAGUGACUAUGUUAAUUCAUUCAUAACACGUUCAAAACGUAAUUUUUGAGCACCUACCAUGUGCCAGGUACUGUGCUCUGUUCUACUGCUAUGGAAGUGAAAAAAACAGAUGUUAAACAACCACUUGCCCCUAACUAUAUAAGCAAAAUUAAUGUAAAUAUCAUGAAUGAAGGAAAGGAUUAGGGUUAGGGGAUGCUAACCCAGUCUGGGGGAAAAUUAUUACUCCCUGAGGAUGUCCUAUGUCUUACCUCUUUUAUUUCACAUUUCUCAAAUUCUAAUCAGUUUCCUAAAUAUUUGUAUUCCCUUUGAGGCAUCCUUCCUUUGUCCCUUAGAAUGAUUUUGAAAACAUCAUGGAAAACACUUAUUACUAAACAGGAAUGAAAGAGGUGAUAGGACUAUAGAUUCUAUAGACAAUCAAAGAACAAGAAUAAACCAUGGAAAAUGUAUUCCAAUAUACUCAACAAAUUAGAUGAAAUAGAGAAAUUCCUUAAUAGAUCACAUCUACCAACAGUCACUCAGGAAAAAUUAAGAUAACCCGAAUAGUCCUGUAUCUAGGAAAGAAGUUGAAUUUUGAGUCAAAACUUUCUCACAAAAUUGAAGCUAAGGGAACAGGUUUCAGUUCCUUCUAUUAGGGUGAGCAUUAUCUUGAUAGCAAAAAACAAAACCAUGCAAAUAUAUUACAAAGGGGGAAAAACUUAAAGAAUUAUAUCUUUUAUGAAUGUAGAUGCAAAGUCAAUUCAAACAAAAGUUUAGGAAAUAGAAGACAAUACUAUAUAAAAAGGUAAUAGAUCAUCAAGAAGUAGGAUUUGGCCUAGGAAUGCAGGUUUGGCUGGACUUCUGAAAAAUAUAUCAAUGUAAUUAAUUGUAUUAAUAAACUAAAAAAGAAAACUAUAUGACCAUCUCAGUAGAUUCAGACAAACUUUUGACAAAAUUCAACAUCUACUCUGACAAAUACUCUUAGGAAACUAUGGAUACAACAGAAGCAAAAACAUAUAGCUGGCAUCACACUUGAUGGUGAAAGAGUAAAUGAUUUCCACCUGAAGAAAGCAAAAAGACAAAGAUUUCUCUGCUCAUUAUCUCUAUUUAAUAUUGUUUUAGCCAGCACAAUGAGGCAAGAAGAAGAAAUAAAAUGCAUCCAGUAAGAAAUAGGAGUUAUAUUGUUUUAAUUCAAAGAUGAGAUAAUCAUGUGUGUAGAAAUGUCAGCGAAGUGCCAAAAAACUCUCGGAACCAAUAAAUUAGUAUCACUGUGUUCCAGAAUAUAAAAACAAAACACAAUAUCAGUCAUAUUCCUGUACAGAAGCAAUGAAUAAUCAGAAAUUGAAAUACAAAAUACAAUUUAUAAUAACAAUGACAAGUAUUAAAUUCUCAAGGAUAAAUAUGACAAAUGAUGUAUACAAUAUGUAAAAUGGAAAUUGUAAAACAUUGCUGAGAGAAAUUACAGAAGAUUUGAAUAAACAAUGAGAUAUAAUCUGCAUGUUGGUUAGAAGACUCCAUAUUGUUAAAAUGUCAGUUCUUCCCAAAUUUAUCUACAGGUUCAAUUCAAAGCCAAUCAAAAGCUCAGCAGGCCUUUUUUUUUGGAUGGGUGAUGGGUAUAAGUUGACAAGAUGAUUCUAAAAUUCAUGUGGAAAUGCAAAGAACCCAUAUCAAGGGCCAGGAAACUUUGAUCUGCAGUGCACUUCCAGCCCACUGCCUGCUUUUGUAAAGAAAGUUUUUUUUGAAACACAGUCAUUUCUGUUUAUUUAAAUAUUGCCUAUGACUAUUUUUUCACUGCAAUGGCAGAGUUGAAUACUUACAAAAGAGACCGUAUUCAGAAUUCUUACAAAAGAAACUGUUAUUCUGUCACUUUAAAGAACGACAACAACAACAACAAAAAAGUGCUGGCCCUUAAAUUAGAAUAGCAAAAACAAGUUUGAAAGGAACAAAGUUAGAAGACUAACAUUACUUGACCUUAAUAUAAAUUUACAGUGCUAAAGGAAGUGUAGUACUGGCAAUGAGUUAGAUAAGUAGAUUAAUGAAUCAAAGUGAAUAGUCCCCAAAUAAACCUACAGUUACGUGAACAACAAACUUUUGACAAAGAUGAAAAGGAAACUGAGAGGAAAAGAAUAGUUUUCAACAAAGAUUUCUGAAAGAAUGGAUAUCUGCAUGUGAAAAGGAGUGGAUUUAGAUUUAUACUUCUCAACUUUAUACAAAUACGAAUUCAAAAUGGAUCAUAGAUCUAAUGCAGAAUCUAAAACCAUAGAGCUUCUGAAGGAAUCACCGGAAAAAAUCUUUGUGAAUUGAGGUAAGGCAAAGAUUUCUUAGAUAUGACACUAAAAACAUCCAUAAAUGAAACAAAAUUAUAGAUUGAAUUUCAUCAAGAUUAAAUAUUUCCAAAGCAUAUAUCUGAGACAAGGCUUGUAUCCAGAAUAUAUGAACAAGCCUCAAAACUCUUUUGAUAAAAUAAACAAAUAAUAAAAAAUGAGCAAAACAUUUGAACAUACAAUUCACCAAAGAAGACAAAACAAUGGCCAAUAAGUACAUGUAAAGAUGCCCAACUUUGUUGGCAUGCAAUUAAGGGAGAAGGAAAUAAAAACCAGAGUAAGAUACUUCUCCAAACCUAUUAGGAUGGUUAAAAGACUGACCUCCUCAACUGUUGAUAAGAAUGUGGAGAAAUUGCAACUCUCAUAUACUGCUGGUGAGAAUAAAAAAUGGUAUUGCUAUUCUGAAAUUCAGUUUGGCAGUUACAUAUAAAGUUAAAUAGAUAUACAUCUACCAUCUGAACUAGCCAUUCUAGUCCUCAGUAUUUAUACAAGAGAAAUGAAAGCAAUAUGUCCAUACAAAGGCUUAUACACAGAUAUUCAUAGCAGCUUUCUUUGUGAUAACCAAAAACUGGACAAUCCAAAUAUCAUCAAUGGUAAAUUAAUAAGCCAACUGUGACAUAACCAUAUAGUAGAAUACUACUCAGCAAUAAGAAGGAAUAAAUCCUCAAUACACACAACUUUGAUAAUUAAAAAAAAAAUUUUUUUUUAAUAUUUAUUUAUUUUUGAGACAGAGAGAGACAGAGCAUGAAUGGGGGAGGGUAAGAGAGAGAGGGAGACACAGAAUCCGAAACAGGCUCCAGGCUCUGAGCUGUCAGCACAGAGCCCAAUGCGGAGUUUGAGCUCAUGGACCCCGAGAUCAUGACUUGAGCCGAAGUCGGACGCUUAACUGACUGAGCCACCCAGGCACCACACAACUUUGAUAAAUUUUAAAGUAAUUGCGUGAAAUGAAGCAGACAAGAAGGGUACCUAUUGUAUAAUUCUACUUAGAUGGUGCUCCAGGAAAUGCAAAUUAAUCUAUAAUGAUGGAAUGCAAAUGAUUUGUUCUGGGGGUAGAGCACCAUGGGUGGAGGGAGGGAAUUAUAAAAGGGCAUGAGGAAACAUUUGGGGAUAAAAUGUGAAUAAAAUCACAUGAUUCUGAUUGUGGUAAUGAUACAGUGAUAUGACACUGUAUAUGUAUGUCAAAUUUUGUCCAACUUACCAAAUUGUAUACUAAAUUCGUAUACCAAAUUAUACCUUACUACAGCUGGAAAAAUCCAUAUGAAUUGCUCUAAUACUGAGCGCUUUUACUUUUAACUACUAUAGCUUUAAUAAAGAACAUACAGCAGCAACCAGCUAUAAACAUCCCCUUGUCUUCCUCUGGGUAAAACCAGGAAACCUAUAUUGCAGUGAAUCCAUUGCAUUUGACUUUUUCUGUUGAUGACAAGGCAUAAGUAAUUGAUGGUUUUGUGUAUUAAAAAACUACUUAGAGCAUUGAGAUAUAGGGUUUUCCUCCAAGGCUCCUCCAGGCCACCAUGGAAAUGUAUCUCUACAUUUCAUAUGGACAACAUAUGGGAAUGUGCUGAUUUAGAUGAAAAUGAGCCCUGAGAUAAGUACUAUGUAGUCAUACUUCCGGAGUUAAUUUUGAAGAUAAUAUUUGUUUCAACUUUUUAAAUGUUUAUUUAUUCUUGAGAGAGAGAGAGAGACAGCAUGAGUGGUGGAGGGGCAGAGAGAGGGGGAGACACAGAAUCCGAAGCAGGGUCUAGGCUCUGAGCUGCCAGCAUAGGGCCUGACACGGGGCUCAAACUCACAAACUGUGAGAUCAUGACCCGAGCUGAAGUCAGAUGCUUAACAGACUGAGCCAGCCACCCAGGCUCUCCUGAAGAUAAUAAUUUUAAGGGUUUUUGUCAUAAAAUAAUAACUAACUAGAUUUCAAAACUUACGUUAUAGGAGGGUACAUCAACUCUAGCAUAUAGAUACGACAAAUUAAGGCAAGAAUUUAAUUUUGUUCCCAGUACUAUAGAAAUCCUCAUAACACCAAAUCAAUUGCAUUGGCAAUCAGGAUUUGCUACAUAAAAAGAUCUUUAAUUUUAACCUUUUUUUUAAUUAAAAAAAUUUUUUUUAUUUAUUUUUGAGAGAGAGAGAGAGAGAGAGAGAGAGAGAGACAGUGCAUGAGUAGGGGAGGAACAGAGAGAGAGAGAGGCACAGAAUCUAAAGCAGGCUCCAGGCUCUGAGAUGUCAGCACAGAGUAUGAUGCAGGCCUCAAACUCAAGAAUCAUGAGAGCAUGAUCUGAACUGAAGUUGAACGCUUAACCGACUGAGUCACCUAGGUACCUAAAAUUUUAACCUUCUUUGAAACAAGGCAAAGGUGCUUUCCCGUUUCCUUCUUUUGGCUAUGCUUUUGACCUAGACAAUGCUUAUUAAGUACAGUAUACAAGACUAUGGGAAAGUCAGACAAAAACCUUGAAUUGAUUCACCAUGGAACUGCACACAUCGGAGGAGGGUACUGUAAACUACAGCACCACAAAACUGUAGAACUUGAAAGCAGGAAGAGGUGGUUAGAGAUUACUUUGUUCAAUAACCUCACAUAUGAAAUCUGAGAGGACAAAUGAUUUAUUUGAUGUGCUGAAGCUAAUCUGUGUCUAAACUAGAACUUAAAUCACCUAUGAACCUGCUCUGUUCUUGGUAAACCAUACCUGCCCUCUGUUAACCAUAGUGCCAUCCAAUGUAGGUGACAAAAAGGACCCACUAAAACUUUAUCAUAUCAUUUUCAGUGCUCCUCCAGGUAUAAAUUAGUCUGACCCCCCCCCCACAAGGUACUAAUUGAAUAUUUAGGUUACUGAAUGAAUUUAAAAAGAGAGGAAAAAAGCCCAAAUUGUGAAACUGGAAGUUAAGCAAUAACUUACUAUCUUGGAAAAUAUUUAUUAAUCUUAGUAAAAAAAAUAGUUUUGACGAAAGUGAUUAUUGUUGAUUUAUUCUGACAAUCCCUGAAGUAUGAUGUGCUUUAUAGGAGAGGGCAUUUCACUGCUAUGAUUCAUGGUAGUUUCCCUGUUCCUUCCAUCUGUAAAAUGGGUAUAACCCUGAGUUCUAGUGACCCAAAGUGACCAAUUCUUAGGCUGCCCAAUUUUGUAUUUCAACAGUAUUGGUAUGCAUGCAGAAUUUUGUCAUUUUCAUUUCCUUAUAUUAAAGGGCACAUGUUUAUUCGAUACCUUCCUUAUUCAAUGACUGUGGAAAACAGACUACAUCUGCUGGAGAGCAAACAUUGUUUCUUCUCUCCAGAUGUCUGCUUUUUCUCCCAGAAGUUGGAGAGCAUUGGACAAGCAAUAACAGAUGAUGAACACAUGCAUAACUACAAAUGGGCAAGCUGAUUGUUUUCAAAAUUGGUAUAAACAUUUGCUCUUGGGUUGAGAUUUAGCCCAUAGCAAAUCUUUACAUUUGCGUUAUAAACUCUCAACUAAAAAAAAAAUGUUUAUAAUGGAAGUGCUGACAAUGUGAAAAUUCAGUCAUGGUCAGGAAAGCAGUUUUGUUUAAAAAUGCCAUUUUGCACUUCCGUAUUUACUUCCUAACCAGUGACUGAGAUGUCAAUUUCUUCAAAGUUUUCUUUUCCAGUCCAAAGGAGAAUUUGACAACUGUUUUGAAAUGAACAAGAUAUCUGAAUUUUAGCCUCUUGCUUCUUCAACAAAUACCAAUUAGAGUACAGAACCACAUGCUGGUUACUUAACUGGUUACACAGAUGAUGAUGAAGAAGAAGAGGAAGAAGAAGGAGGAGAAGGAGGGGGGAGGAGGAGGAGGGGGAGGAGGAGGAGGAGGAGGAGAAUGAAUGAAACAGAAGAGAACUAAGCUUGUUAUUCAAGAAAGGUUUUGCUUUUAUAUAAUAUUUGAAAAAGAAAUUGCAGCAUUUAUCAGGAAACACUUUGCACUUUCUUGCCUUGACUACACCAAAGCACAGUGAGUACACUGACUAGAGGUGUAAGGUAAGGUCAGAGAAAUCCCUUGACUUGCUUAUAAGUCACUUGGUGUGGGACCAAAUGUGUGAUUUGCACUGUGGGGUUGAUAUUCAGUGACUCCAGUGAGCCGGGUUGGUGUCUUUUCUGUGUCUCCUAAUGUUCGUACAGACGUGGCCUUCUCUUACAUAAUUGAAUUGCAAAGAUUGCCCUACUAUUCACUCACAUAAUGGCAAAAAAGAGUAAAAAUACAGAUUAGAAAUAAAGGUAGAGAAACGUGCUAGCAACACAUUUUACAUGCAAAGGUUUUUCUUUGGAAAACCAUGAUUGGGGUGGAAAUUGUAGAAAAUGUUGUAUUUGAUUACAGCUCAUGGUGGGAACCUCUGCUAUAAUGUUGGAUACAAGGCAAUUAUUUUCACGUGAAGAUGUAAAGCUACUAUUUUUGACUAUCCAGAUUCUUACCUAGAUUCUCACUUAUUUGCAGGGGGUUUGAAGUAUUUUUAUAACAAAGGGGGAAAGGAAAAACUAUCCCAAAGACUGGUUGAUGUGAGUAAGCAGACUCCUCAUGCCCAUGUCACCAUGUGGAUGUGAACAAUCCAGUCCUACUCUCUUAGAUUCAGACAUGAGAAGAAGAACAAAUGGUUCUUACCCUUGACAUAAACGCACCCAGGAGAUUUGUCUUCAAACUCUUAGUCUUUUGCAGGCAGAUAAAAAUAUGUUGAAGUCUGAGUUACCCUCAGUGGGCUACUAACACUUAGAACUUGCCCAACACUGCACUUGAGCAAGGAGGACAAUACUGUAAAAUUUUAACAGUUGUGUUUUCCUGUAUUCAAGCACACAAUAGGAUGCUCUGCUCACAAAUAAUUAAUGCAUGAGAGAGGGCUGCAGUUCAGAGAUAGAAACUGAGUAACAAGAAGUCAUUGUUACUCAAGUAACAAUACCCAAAACAUUAGGAUAGAAUAUGGAUUUUGCCUUUGUAUUUUGUUUGUAAGCCUCAAAUCAUGUAAAUGUUCAACCUUGCCCAAGGUUAAGAAGACUCCCACUGAGCCUAUUAGUAUAUGUGGGGAACAGUCUGGGUGGUGGAGUAUCAGUCCUCAGAGUGGAUUGAUAUUCUGAGGAUUAAUACUCAGCCCUCUUGGGCUGCUAGAUUUCUGGAACUAUUUUGAAAAGAGUGUUAUACACCAUCAGAAUAUAAUGAAAAGGGCAUGUGUGUGAAAAUAUGGAAUCCGUUCUCAUUUUCCCUAUUAAUGAGAAAAGUUAAUUUAUUUGGGACACUGAGACACUCGAGUGAAAGGCAUACCUUGAAUAAAAUGGUACAAUAUAAACCUGAGUUGGCUAGUUAAUAUUGCUAGUUAUUUUGAAUUUUUACUGUAAUUGAACAUCACAUGAAAAAUGCUGUAUAUUUUUAAAUUGAGUGGAAAGAGCUCUGAUGGACAGAAUAAGAGCAGAAUUAAAGAUAAUUUUUUUCCCCAAAUGAGAUCUUUUUGGCUCAUCCUCUUACAAUUAUUGCUUGGAGUACUGGAAUGUAUUCUUUGUUUAUAACUCAAUGAUUCCCAUAAAGGCAGCACUGUAGCACCACAUAAAAUAACUAUAAUAAUUUGUUGUAAUUGAAGAAAAAUGUGUUUGUGCAGAAAGCACCUCACAACCACAGUUUUAGUGAAUCCUUUCCAUAAUCAUUUGAUCAGUACUUUAAUGUGAGCUGAUUCAAAAUAUACUUUCUAAUAAGUGCUUUGCUUUUUUUUUUUUCUUAACUACUUGGUGAUAUCCUAAUUAACCAUGCUCAAUUGAUUGCUUUCAAAAUAAGAACUAAGAGCUCUCAUCUAGUCAAGUGGAAGCCAAUUCAACUCUUUUACACUAUGGCAAUGAUACAUCUCACACACACUCAUAGCCUCACCCACACAUCCACCACAUGUAGUAUAUUAGCAAUAUCAUAUUCGGACUCUUCUGCUGUGAGUCAGUGUAGCUUGACAGUCACAUUUCUAUGGAUUUUUGCAUCUCAUUUUUCUUUUAAUACUUAUAAGAGUAGGUUUUAAUGUUCAUUUUUCAUCAGCACAUGGAGAUUGUUUUUGGAAUUUUUUUGUGUGAUCACUUGACAAAAUCUCACAUCCGGGAAAUGUGCUGUUUCACUUGGAAAAAGGCAAAAGAGUAAAAGGGAGGAAACGAACUCAAAUCGGGCAAAAGGAAAAUGACCAUUUCACAUCUUAUCUCAAUCGCCUCUCUCUUUUUUCUUUGCGAGUCAAAGUUAAACACAUCUAAUUUGGGUUGACAACACACUUAAUCAUUUGAUUAUGAGAAUGUAGCCAAGUAGCCAGAGAACCUUUGUGCACGGCGGCGUUAUGCUGCGGUAGAAUGGGGGAUUUUCAGAUCCUCGUUACUGUGUAUCACAUGAGCACUGCUUCUCCAGCCAUGUGGAUAAGUGACAGUAGACGAUAUAAUACCUAACUUAAUGCGAUACACAGACCUGAAAAACUCUUUUCAGCACAUAUAAAUCUUCGUCCAGGCAUUACACAACAGGAGUUUAAAAUGGUACAUGUAAAUCAUCCAGACUUAAGCUUCCUAGGAAACACAAACCAUUCUCUAAGGACAUAUGAGACCAGAACUUCAGAAGAUGCUGUCUCACUGUGGGAUGGCAGAAAACGGCGGCUCACAGACCACCCUGGUGAACAGUAAUCAACAAUGCAGUGGCCCACUUUAUAAAGGCGUCAGACAGUCUGUAAGCAAAAAGGCAGAGCCUCCAACUGAGAUAGACCCUGCUAAUAAGUGGCUUCUAGUAAAAAAAAAAAAAAAGAAGCCAGCUUUAACAUAUGCAACAGGUCUCAUAUCACAAUAUAUUGAUUGCUUCAGCAUUCCACCUCCUUUCAUUUGGAGCAACUCCAUCAAGAUUGUUAUCUUGUAACCCCUUAAGUAGGGGUAGAGAGUAUCAGAGAAUAUCUCCACGCUCUCACAGCCUUUUGUAUCUGUGUUAUGGUGUUACAUUUGCAAAUGCCUCCCCACAUGCCUGUUUCACCUGCUGGACGUGACUGCCAGGAAAAUGGCACCAUGUCCUGUUCAUCCUACUAUCUCUAACUUUUAGUAUGGCGCCUGCUCAAGAAGUCAUUUCAUACAUAUUUGGUGAAAACGUCGUUCUAUUCCAGUACUUUUCUUAGCAAGCCGGACAAGCCACUUCAAACGUGUUUUAGUUUGUUUCCCAAUCUAACAAAUGGGAAUAGUAACAGCUUUAAGCAUUUCACAAAAAAAUUGGCAAAAUAAUAUAUUUGAAAAUAUGUCUAAAAAUAUUUUUACAAAAUGUGUUUGCAAGGUGAGGGCUUGGGUAUUUCUGGCAAGGUAAGCUGAAUUGUCUGAAUAAUAUAAUUAUUAUCUGAUAUUCAGUAGUGGAGUUGAAUUUGACUUGCUCUGACAGACAAAAGCCCUUUGGUCUUAUGUUAAAAAUCAUCCAAAAUAAUCUUACUAAUUUGUAUAAUUUAUAUAAAACAUUUGACGAGGAAAAACAACAAAGCGAUUACUUGAGGACAUACUGAAAAUAUUUCAGUUUCCUUAUAAUUCUGACUUUAUAUCAUCAAAAGUACCUCAGUGAGUGCCCAUACCUGCUGUGAUAAGUAGACAGACUAAACCACAUUUUGUCAAUAGGAGGAAGUUACACAAACUGGGUACACAAAUAGAAAAUAAUGUUGAAGAAAGUAUAAUUAAUUAAUUCAAGCUUCAAGAUAAGAUCACUGGAUCCUGCUGACCCUACAUGUUAAUCAGUUGAUUGAUUAAUUGCUACAAUCAUAAUAAUUAUAUGGUACAAAUCUAAGUACACUUAAUGAUAGUGUAGACUCAGAGUUACAAGUUCUUUUCAAUCUGCAUAUCUUUUCUCUUUCUUGAAUCAAGAGUUGGUUUCAUUUACUUUAAAGAUACCUUUUGGCAUGUAGAACUAGAAAGCUUAUGUCAAAUUUAGCCAAGGUUCAAUUUUGCUGGUCCAAUUAACAAUUUUAGGUCAUUUCUCAAUGCUCUGUUGAAAAUUUAAAACAAUCUCAUCUAUGAAUAGGAAUUUGGUGUUAUACAUAUUCAUCAAAUUUUAUUACUCUUUUCACAUGCAGGAAUCUCAAUUUUAGGCUUUACUUUUUUUUCCUACACACACACACACACACACACACACACACACACACACAAUCGAUAUAUAUCAUGGUAUCUUCAAUUUUGCCAAAAUUUCCGUUCUCAUCACUCUUAACUUCUGAUCAGCUAUUCAGUGUUUCCGUAGCCGUAUUCAUUUGAGUGAUUCUGGAAUAAUUUCUCGAAGCACAAAGGUGUCUUGAACCGCCUUUAUCCUAUGUCUACAAGAACAAUACCAGGAUGAAAAAUCAGUUCAUUGAUGCGUUGUGUUUGGCCUAGCCUUCUACUGUACACAAAGCAGCUCAUCAUCACAACGUCUCUAUUUCUGUCAAAUACAUUUUUACCCUGUUGGUUAUUUAGGUCCAAACCUGACCAUGACUGUUUAUCGAAGCUGUCAUUAAAUCUUUGUGACUUAUUUCUUUACUUUUGGUAAUCUUUCUUAUAUAUGCUUUCUCUCCUCGCCCCACCUCUUUUAAAACAAAUAGUCAAAGAUUCUUAAGUCAGUGAGCAACUUAGAACUCAUCCAGCUACUAGAUGCUUCUUAGACUUGUGCAUACAAAUGAAUAAAUUGGAGGGCUUAUAAAAACGCAUUCCUGGGCUCCAUCCCUAGAGGCUGUUAUUCUGAAAGUCAGGAAUGGGGCUUCAGAAUGUUUAUGUUUAAUAAGAUCCCAGGUGAGUCUGCUGCCACUAGCCUGCAGACCGUACUUGGAGCAGCACUUAUUCUAUGACUUUUUAGGGGAUUUUUUGAAAAUCUUCUGAGAAUCUUGCUCCAGAAAAUACACAGAUAAAAAUACACACAAAUUUGACCAACCUUUGGGCAGUGGGUCAUAAGCCUUGUGCAUACCCAUAGAUGUUAAUUUCAGAAUUUUGAUACAGUAUCAUUUAAUCACUUUACAGAGAGAUAAAACUGGUUCCCCAAGUGGUUAGGACACUUGCCUAAGGUCAUACUUGAUUGGUAGCUGAGUGUAAUACCAGGAUACGACAACAGGGUUUUCUGCUGCCAAUCCUUUCUCUUCAAUGCGUCCUGCCAAUAAUCACCAAAAAAAAGUCUCUAAAACAUAAUUUUCUGUUUUUUCACUGCUUUCCUAAAAAAUGCUUAAAGGGGUUUUCAUUGCUGUAGAUUAAAAUUUAAAACGUCUGUAGUAUUGAAUUCUCUGCAAUUAGUUAAUUUAUUGGCCAACUAUUUACUGAGUAGUGUCUCUGACAAAGGUACUGUGUGAAGCAGGAUGCAGGAUGAAGUAGGACAGUGGCAGGCUGCAGCCUUCGUGGGAUUUACAAUGCUGGCUUAACUGGAUGUCCCUCCUAUAUUUUCUACUGUGAUCUCAAAAUGCUUUCUGUAUUCCACUCAGAUUCCUCACUCGCCUCAAAACAGCACCCUGAUCUAAGUGUUAGAACUGUUGCUAAUUUUCUAUCUCAGUCUGGCUCUUCAAACUCCGCAUACACUGAACGACUCUUUAGAGAAGUCAUUCCGACCGCCACGCUUAUAGCUUUCCCUUCCGUAGGGCACUGUCUUCACCACUUACUGUGCCACUAGCUCACUCACGGUUGCAUACUCCUCUCCAGGCAGUUUACCUCUUCCCUCUUCAGUAUCCGCCUCAAGGAAUGCACUUCUUGGCUUGGGGUAAAAUACUCUAAUGUCAGCAUCCUAUGAGAAGGAAGUCCUUACUCUCCCCUUAUUUGGCUUUUGUGGAGGAGAAAGGACUGAAUUCGGUGGUUCUCAAAUCUGCCACACAUCAGAAUCACCCGAGGAUUGUGUUUUCAUAAAGAUUUCUGAACUCCAUCCCAAGCACACCGAAUUAAAAUCUAUGAGCGGGUCUGGGAAUCUAUUUCCAUGAAAGUGAUUUGGGUUGAAACCACAUUUGAGAUCCCCUAGGGUAACUGAUUCUGAGAUCUCUUAUAAUACUGUCAGUUCACCCUUUUCUUACACGUUUGUUUUGUUCUGUUUUUCUUUUUUAUCAUUACAAAUGCACUUACCCUUGGUACAGAAACUUAAAGACAAGUAAAGCAAAAGAGUACAAAACCCAAAGGCUGUGUAAGCAUUCAGAGAUAAUGUCUGUUAAUAUUUUGAAAUACUUUUAGUCUUUUGUCUCCUUAUAAAUAUUUACAUACAUAUUUAAAAAUAGGUCCACAAUAUACACACUUAUGUUCUAUUUUAAUAUUCAUUGGCAUUUUACUUGGAGAAGUAAUGUUUCUUACAACACAAUUUAAAACUGUAUAAUAUUUCAUUACAUAAAUGUGCUAUAAUUUAACCUUCCCUAAGUUUAGACAUAUGUUAGUUUUACAUCUUUAACUAUUAUAAAUAAGAUUUUGGAAAGCGAGUUGGUACACAUUCUUGUGCAUAUCUGUGGAAAUUCCCUAAGGUAAAUUUCUAGAUGUGUGAUAGCCAAUACAAAGGUGUGCACAUUUUUAAGCCUUUUGAUAUAUAACGAGCUAAAAUGUCCCCCAAGAAUGUUGUGGGGGUUCCAAUUCUCAGUAGCCAACAAUUCUUGCCUCACCAUGAACUUUAACAGGCCUUUCAUCUAUAGCCAGGUGUUUUUAUAUCAGUAGUUCCUUCUUGGGAUCGUCAACUUAUACCCAUACAGCAUAGUUCACUGCGUGGACAUUGAGUCUUUUGUUAAGGUUAUUAAAUGUCUAUCUUCCUUGUAGGUUGUCCCAAUGUUAGAGAAAAGACGACUCUAAAAUAAUUAAUCUUGGAAGUAAACUUUGAUGAGGUGUAGCGUAAAAGCUAAAAACCUGAGGCAAGAGAAUGCUAUUUUCUUGUGCGAUACCUUAUUCUGGCCAUCUGUUUAACAAAUAUCUGGUUCCAAAUGGUGCCAAUUAAAACUGAUGGCAAAUCUUAAUAACUUCUACUUGUGAAUAGCAGCAAGACCAACAUUGUGCUUCUUGUGUAGUUAUCUGAUGGCAGUUGAGGUACCUCCAGAUUUUACAGGGAUAUGCAGUCUCUCUCUCUCUCUCUCUCCCUCCCUCCCCCUGCCCCACUGUCUCUGCACUGGUGAUCCAGAACACCCACUGCUAAGCAAGUAUGCAAAAUGCAGUGCUGCUUAGCAUUGGGAAAUCCCAAAUCUGGUGCCAAAAGAUUUAUAAAUAUAGUAAUGAACCCUCUCGUGUCAAAUGUGAGCACUGUUUAACAGAGCAAGUAGGAAUGGUCUUCAGGACGCUUUGCAGCUGGAGUUGUUCCACUGCGAGAGAACGGAAACUUCAUGAUGGCAGUUGUAAUACCAGAUCCUGGAAAGGCAAUUUACUUCAGUCUGCAAAGUAAACUAAAGGGAAUGGCUGCUCACACAUGGUCCUGAUGCCACCGACAUAAGAAACACAGCAACAGGAGCAGAGAAUUAGGAAUUUGGUGGCAGAUGGAAAGGUCUGCAGGAAGUGUCCACCCAGCUUUGUUUGGCCCAUAUUCUAAAACAACUAGAAUAAACACUUAGUGUCAUAAUUUAUACGCAUAUCAGUACCAAUAAAUCAGA